rnacentral:ncRNA from 2 species
AGGGCCGCCGCUGCGACAGGUUCCCCGCGAGGGGAUCAAAAGGGAACGCGGGUUCAAGACCCGGGCUGCCCCUGCAACUGUAAGCGGAGAGCCGUGCGGCCAUUUCGCCAUUGGGGGUGCAAAUCCCUGAGAAGGCGGCCGAAACGGCAUUGACCCGUGAGCCAGGAGACCUGCCUGCCGCAGUCGUUCUUC